GGCAGCAGCCGCGGGAACACCGGCAGCUCUAGUGGUAGCUGUUUUAUUGGGCCUAAAGCGUUCGUAGCCGGUUUAAUAAGUCUCUGGUGAAAUCCUAUAGCUUAAACUGUGGGAAUUGCUGGAGAUACUAUUAGACUUGAGAUCGGGAGAGGUCAGAGGUACUCCUGGGGUAGGGGUGAAAUCUUGUAAUCCUAGGAGGACCACCUGUGGCGAAGGCGUCUGACUAGAACGAAUCUGACGGUGAGGAACGAAAGCUAGGGGCGCGAACCGGAUUAGAUACCCGGGUAGUCCUAGCCGUAAACUAUGCGGACUUGGUGUGAGGGUGGCUUUGAGCCGUCCUGGUGCCGAAGGGAAGCUGUUAAGUCCGCCGCCUGGGAAGUACGGUCGCAAGACUGAACUUAAAGGAAUUGGCGGGGAGCACCACAACGCGUGGAGCCUGCGGUUUAAUUGGAUUCAACGCCGGAGAUCUCACCAGCGGCGACAGCAGUAUGAUGACCAGGUUGAUGACCUUGUUUGACAAGCUGAGAAGAGGUGCAUGG
rnacentral:rRNA from 1 species